rnacentral:rRNA from 1 species
CACGUAGGGUGCGAGCGUUGUCCGGAAUUAUUGGGCGUAAAGAGCUCGUAGGCGGUGUGUCGCGUCGGCCGUGAAAACCUGUGGCUUAACUAUGGGCUUGCGGUCGAUACGGGCAUCACUGGAGUUCGGCAGGGGAGACUGGAAUUCCUGGUGUAGCGGUGAAAUGCGCAGAUAUCAGGAGGAACACCGGUGGCGAAGGCGGAUCUCUGGGCCGUAACUGACGCUGAGGAGCGAAAGCAUGGGGAGCGAACAGG